rnacentral:rRNA from 1 species
AGAGUUUGAUCAUGGCUCAGGACGAACGCUAGCGGCGUGCCUAACACAUGCAAGUCGAACGGGAUCCAUGCCAUGAAGUUUUCGGAUGGAUUGGUGUGGUGAGAGUGGCGAACGGGCGAGUAACGCGUGAGCAACCUACCUCGUACUGGGGGAUAACGUCGGGAAACCGGCGCUAAUACCGCAUAAGACUACGAUGUCGCAUGGCGUUGUAGUCAAAGCUCCGGCGGUACGAGACGGGCUCGCGUCCGAUUAGCUAGUUGGUAGGGUAACGGCCUACCAAGGCGACGAUCGGUAGCCGGACUGAGAGGUCGGCCGGCCGCAUUGGGACUGAGACACGGCCCAGACUCCUACGGGAGGCAGCAGUGGGGAAUAUUGCGCAAUGGGGGAAACCCUGACGCAGCGACGCCGCGUGAAGGAAGAAGGCCUUCGGGUUGUAAACUUCUUUGGCAGGGGACGAAGAAAGACGGUACCCUGAGAACAAGCCACGGCUAACUACGUGCCAGCAGCCGCGGUAAUACGUAGGUGGCGAGCGUUGUCCGGAAUUACUGGGCGUAAAGGGCGUGUAGGCGGGGGGACAAGUCAGAUGUGAAAUACCGCAGCUUAACUGCGGGGCUGCAUCUGAAACUGUUCUUCUUGAGUGUCGGAGAGGAAAGUGGAAUUCCCAGUGUAGCGGUGAAAUGCGUAGAGAUUGGGAGGAACACCAGUGGCGAAGGCGGCUUUCUGGACGACAACUGACGCUGAGGCGCGAAAGCGUGGGGGAGCAAACAGGAUUAGAUACCCUGGUAGUCCACGCUGUAAACGAUGGAUACUAGGUGUAGGAGGUAUCGACCCCUUCUGUGCCGGAGUUAACACAAUAAGUAUCCCGCCUGGGGAGUACGGCCGCAAGGUUGAAACUCAAUGAAUUGACGG